rnacentral:rRNA from 1 species
CCGCCGGCGACCGGCGCACGGGUGAGUAACGCGUAUGCAACCUGCCCGUUUCAGCGGGAUAACCCGGAGAAAUCCGGCCUAAUACCGCAUGUGGCCGAGGGGAGGCAUCUUCUUUCGGCCAAAGGGGGCGACUCCGGAGACGGAUGGGCAUGCGUGACAUUAGCUAGUUGGCGGGGUAACGGCCCACCAAGGCGACGAUGUCUAGGGGUUCUGAGAGGAAGGUCCCCCACACUGGUACUGAGACACGGACCAGACUCCUACGGAAGGCAGCAG